UACGUAGGGGGCAAGCGUUGUCCGGAUUUAUUGGGCGUAAAGAGCGUGUAGGCGGCCUGACAGGUCUGCUGUGAAAACUCGAGGCUCAACCUCGAGAUGUCGGCGGAAACCGUCUGGCUAGAGUCCGGAAGAGGAGAGUGGAAUUCCUGGUGUAGCGGUGAAAUGCGUAGAUAUCGGGAGGAACAUCUGUGGCGAAGGCGGCUAUCUGGACGGUUUCUGACGCUAAGACGCGAAAGCGUGGGGAGCGAUCCGG
rnacentral:rRNA from 1 species